UACGUAGGGGGCAAGCGUUGUCCGGAAUUAUUGGGCGUAAAGAGCUCGUAGGCGGUCUGUCGCGUCGGCUGUGAAAACCCGAGGCUCAACCUCGGGCCUGCAGUCGAUACGGGCAAACUAGAGUACUGCAGGGGAGACUGGAAUUCCUGGUGUAGCGGUGAAAUGCGCAGAUAUCAGGAGGAACACCGGUGGCGAAGGCGGGUCUCUGGGCAGUAACUGACGCUGAGGAGCGAAAGCGUGGGGAGCGAACAGG
rnacentral:rRNA from 1 species